rnacentral:rRNA from 1 species
GAUGAACGCUGACAGAAUGCUUAACACAUGCAAGUCUUUGGCGAAGCUGUGCUUGCACAGCCUAGCCAAGGCGGACGGGUGAGUAACGCGUAAGGAACUUGCCCUGCAGUCAGGGAUAACAGACGGAAACGACUGAUAAGACCUGGUAAAGUCAGGCGGACUCAUGUCCAGCCUGAUGAAAAGAGAUGCUGCAGGAGAGCCUUGCGUCCUAUUAGCUUGUUGGUGGGGUAACGGCCCACCAAGGCGAUGAUAGGUAGCCGGCCUGAGAGGGUGGACGGCCACAAGGGGACUGAGAUACGGCCCUUACUCCUACGGGAGGCAGCAGUGGGGAAUAUUGGACAAUGGGGGCAACCCUGAUCCAGCAAUUCUGUGUGCACGAUGAAGGUUUUCGGAUUGUAAAGUGCUUUCAGCAGGGAUGAAAAAAAUGACGGUACCUGCAGAAGAAGCGACGGCUAAAUACGUG